rnacentral:rRNA from 1 species
CAGUAGCCACGGGAACACGUAGGGUGCAAGCGUUGUCCGGAAUUAUUGGGCGUAAAGAGCUCGUAGGCGGUUUGUCGCGUCUGCUGUGAAAUCUGGGGGCUCAACCCCCAGCCUGCAGUGGGUACGGGCAGACUAGAGUGCGGUAGGGGAGAUUGGAAUUCCUGGUGUAGCGGUGGAAUGCGCAGAUAUCAGGAGGAACACCGAUGGCGAAGGCAGAUCUCUGGGCCGUAACUGACGCUGAGGAGCGAAAGCAUGGGGAGCGAACAGGAUUAGAUACCCCGGUAGUCCCUGUCUCUUAUAA